rnacentral:pre_miRNA from 1 species
CUCACACCCAUGUGUGUAGGACUUCAAAGGAUCACCAUUAAAUUUAGCACAGAUCUUUAGAAAAGUUAUCACAUGGGUAUGAGACUUGAUUUUCUAGAGAUCUGUGUCAAAUUUAAUGGUGAUCAUUUGAAGUUCUAUACACAUGGGUGUGGG